AUUUAUAUACGUCGAUAAAAUUAUGUUUUCGUUUUGAAUGUCUUUUAAUAUUUUUUUGAUACAAUAUACAAUUGAGAAUGAAAUAAGGAAUGUUUCAAAGAGACAUAAACACGACCAAAGAGCAGAAAACAUUCAGGAACAGUCAAACUGUAUUUAAACUUUGUGCUGAAACUCCAAAACCAUCAACAAUUAACUUGGUCCAAUGACAAUAAGUUCUCAGAGCUUAAAUUUUUCAAAGAUCGACGUUUUAAAGAAGAGACAAGCGAGUAUAUA
rnacentral:lncRNA from 1 species